rnacentral:ribozyme from 19 species
GGAAGAAAGAAAAAAAAAAAAGAAAAGAACAGAAAGCACAGACAUUU